rnacentral:rRNA from 1 species
GACGUAGGGGGCGAGCGUUGUCCGGAUUUAUUGGGCGUAAAGCGCGCGUAGGCGGCCCGUUAAGUCUGAUGUGAAAGCCCUGGGCUCAACCUGGGAAUGGCAUUGGAAACUGGCGACCUAGAGUGCGGUAGGAGGCAGUGGAAUUCCCGGUGUAGCAGUGAAUGCGUAGAGAUCGGGAGGAACAUCUGUGGCGAAGGCGACUGCCUGGACCAGCACUGACACUGAGGCACGGAAAGCGUGGGUAGCAAACAGG